CACGUAGGGCGCAAGCGUUGUCCGGAAUUAUUGGGCGUAAAGCGCGCGUAGGCGGCCCUGUAAGUCCGCUGUAAAAGUCAAAGGCUCAACCUUUGAAAGCCGGUGGAUACUGCAGGGCUAGAGUCCGGAAGAGGCGAGUGGAAUUCCUGGUGUAGCGGUGGAAUGCGCAGAUAUCAGGAGGAACACCAAUAGCGAAGGCAGCUCGCUGGGACGGUACUGACGCUAAGGCGCGAAAGCUAGGGGAGCGAACGGG
rnacentral:rRNA from 1 species